rnacentral:tRNA from 1 species
AUCUAUAUAGUAUAAUUAUUAUAUUUGACUUCCAAUCAAAAGAUCUGAAUAUCAGUAUAGAUA